GAUGAACGCUAGCGGCAGGCCUAAUACAUGCAAGUCGGACGGGAUUCAGGAGCUUGCUUCUGAUGAGAGUGGCGCACGGGUGCGUAACACGUAUGUAACCUACCUUUAUCAGGGGGAUAGCCUCUCGAAAGAGAGAUUAAGCCCGCAUAAAAUCACAGCACAGCAUUGUGUACUGAUCAAAUAUUUAUAGGAUAAAGAUGGGCAUGCGGAACAUUAGCUAGAUGGCGGGGUAACGGCCCACCAUGGCGACGAUGGUUAGGGGAUCUGAGAGGAUGGCCCCCCACACUGGUACUGAGACACGGACCAGACUCCUACGGGAGGCAGCAGUAAGGAAUAUUGGUCAAUGGGCGGAAGCCUGAACCAGCCAUGCCGCGUGCAGGAAGACGGCCCUACGGGUUGCAAACUGCUUUUAUACGGGAAUAAACCCAGAUACGUGUAUCUGGCUGAAUGUACUGUAAGAAUAAGGAGCGGCUAACUCCGUG
rnacentral:rRNA from 1 species